rfam:Triticum aestivum genome assembly, contig: Triticum_aestivum_CS42_TGACv1_scaffold_129872_2BL
AUUGUACUCCCUCCGUCCGGAAAUACUUGUCGAAGGAAUGGAUGUAUCUAGACGUAUCUUAGUUUUAGAUACAUCUAUUUUUAUCCAUUUCUCCGACAAGUAUUUUGGGAUGGAGGGAGUAGUUG